rnacentral:rRNA from 1 species
UGGGGAAUAUUGCACAAUGGGCGAAAGCCUGAUGCAGCAACGCCGCGUGAGUGAUGAAGGCCUUCGGGUUGUAAAGCUCUGUCUUUUGGGACGAUAGUGACGGUACCAAAGGAGGAAGCCACGGCUAACUACGUGCCAGCAGCCGCGGUAAUACGUAGGUGGCAAGCGUUGUCCGGAUUUACUGGGCGUAAAGGAUGCGUAGGCGGAUUUUUAAGUGAGAUGUGAAAUACCCGGGCUUAACUUGGGUGCUGCAUUUCAAACUGGGAAUCUAGAGUGCGGGAGAGGAGAAUGGAAUUCCUAGUGUAGCGGUGAAAUGCGUAGAGAUUAGGAAGAACACCAGUGGCGAAGGCGAUUCUCUGGACCGUAACUGACGCUGAGGCAUGAAAGCGUGGGUAGCAAACAGGAUUAGAUACCCUGGUAGUCCACGCCGUAAACGAUGAGUACUAGGUGUAGGAGGUAUCGACCCCCUCUGUGCCGCAGUUAACACAAUCAAGUACUCCGCCUGGGAAGUACGAUCGCAAGAUUAAAACUUGAAAUGAAUUGACGGGGGUCAUAGCUGUUUCCU